GUGCACCAGUCGCGAAUACUUUACAAUGUGCGAAAGCACGAUAAGGGAACUCUGAGUGCCUCCUAAGGAGGCUGUUCAGGUGUCUAAAAGCACCUGGAGUAAGGGCUGGGUAAGACCGGUGCCAGCCGCCGCGGUAACACCGGCAGCCCAGGUGGUAGCCACUUUUAUUGGGUCUAAAGCGUCCGUAGCCGGUUGAGUAAGUUCCUUGGGAAAUUUGGCUGCUCAACAGUCAAGCUUCCAGGGAAUACUGCUCGACUUGGGACUGGGAGAGGUCAGAGGUACUCCAGGGGUAGGGGUGAAAUCCAUUAAUCCCUGGGGGACCACCGGUAGCGAAGGCGUCUGACCAGACCAGGUCCGACGGUGAGGGACGAAGGCUAGGGUCGCGAACCGGAUUAGAUACCCCUGUAGU
rnacentral:rRNA from 1 species